AGAUAAGGAAUUCAGGGGAAAAUAUUUUCUAAUUUAACUGAGAUGUAAUGCAUUUAAGAACAUUUAUAUGAGCAAUUCGCAGCUGGUAUUAGUGUUCCAUCUGGAAUAUGCAUUCUUUUAGCUGUGUUUUAAUGUUGUCAUAAUGUUAUUACUGCAUUACCAUGCUUUUACUUUGGUCAUUUUAUGUGGAAUAUGGUCAUGAGGGCAGUUUAUGUCAUAUGCAUAAGGGCGUAUGAUUUCUGUAGUGCAAUGAUAUAGGCUUUGAACUGUUUUGUGUAUACGAGGAUGGUUGGAUUAUGAAGGUCCAAUGGUCAUAGGAUCAGGGAAUGAUGAGGGCCGAAGAGAAGAUAAAUGGCUUACCUCACAGCGUGGCAUGCCAAAUCUGCUUUGUUGAAGUUAAACAUGACAAGGUAGCAUUUUGAUGUGCUAGAGCAGAAUAAUAUUUCAGGAAAGUCAUAAUGUUGCAUAGUCAAGGGGAAGAAAAGUGAUUUGCUGUUGGAAGAUCAAGCUGGUUCCCAGCGUCCGAUUUCACAAGAUGCUUCAGCUGGUCUCUGGGCGUUGAGAGGCAUGUGUGGAAAGUUGCCAGGAUUGGAGGAAUCGGCAUUGAUAGAGCAGAAAGCACAUUACUCAAGUACUCAAUAUCAGCAGACAGCUGCUGUGCUCCACGAUCUGUUAUGUACUGAAUAGCCCGCAACUGCUCCAUGUAAAGAGCGGUGGCACCCUCUGCAACCUAAGACACAGAAGGAACAAUUAUCCUAGUCAAAUUGGCUGUGCUAAAUCAUUUUCAAUAAUAGAAAUUAAGAUGAUCAUCA